UAGGAAUUUUUUUAUUCAAUGUGAAUUUACU
rnacentral:piRNA from 1 species